AGUCGGUUUCUUCAGAAGUUCCGCGCACAAUCAAUCCCGUCAAAGUUCCCAGCGGGAUGAGGUCGGCGUUUUUGCUAAGUCUGUUUGUGGCUUUCUUAUCCCGUGUCUAUUCCGAUGUCGUGUUGACUCAGGCCGAGCAGGAGACGGCCGGAACCGGCGCCACGGUCCGACUAGUCUGUAAAGCCACUGGGUUCUCUUUUGAUGGAUUCGGCAUGCACUGGGUCCGUCAAGUCCCGGGGCAGGGCCUGGAGUGGCUGCUUUACUUCUACAUUCCUUCCAUUAAGUACUUCGCUCCUGGGAUCCAAAACAGGUUUACUCCAUCCAGGGACACUUCAAAAAGCAUUUUCGUCGUGGACAUUAAGAACUUGAAGACUGAAGACACUGCAGUCUAUUACUGUGCGAGAGAUCAGUGGGGCGAUCCGAGGGCGAACUUUGACUACUGGGGAGGAGGCACCAUGUUGACGGUGACUGCCGCGGCAGCAGCGUCCCCUGCCCUCUAUCCUCUCCUCUCCUGUGAACAACACAGCCCGGCUGACUCAAUCACCUUCAGCUGUUUGGCGAUGGACUACUUGCCGGUUGGAAUCAGCGUUUCCUGGAAGAAAGAUAAAGAAACGAUCUCCACCGGACUGAAGACCUACCCGGCAGUGUUCAACAAGAAGGGAACUUACACCCGCAGUAGCCAGUUGACCGUCUCCGAGUCAGAGGUGGGGAACAGCGCCAUCUACUGCGUGGUUCGGCACGGCGAUUCAGUCAAGGAAGUCAAAAUGCCUGAUCGAGUGGUGCGUCAUCCAACCGUCAGUAUCACCGUCAAUUCCCUUGAAGAAAUCAGAAGGAGCAGAAAAGUGAUCGCCAUCUGUUCCAUCACUGAAUUCUGGCCAAAGGCGCUGACUGUGAGUUGGCUAAGGAAUGGACAGGCGCUGGAUUCGGGCUUCGUCACCGCUCCUUCCUUCAACGACAAUGGGAACUUCUCGGCGACAAGCCGAUUGACAUUAUCCGCCGGGGAAUGGUUGCAGGAUUCUAUUUAUACCUGCAAGGUCACUCAUAAGGGUGUCACACAAAGCCAGAACAUCAGCACGUCUCAAGAUUUUAGCGAUUGCGGCGAAGAAAUUAUUACUAUUCAGCCACCACCACUGGAACAGGUCUUACUGGAGGCGACCGUGACCUUAACCUGCGUCAUAUACCAUGUACCGUACGGGGCCACAGUGACCUGGAGCCAAGGAAAGACACUUCUGAAAUCAGAAACUGCCUUUCAGCCCGGAGAGACCCCUGAGAGCGUGAUCAGCAACCUGAGCAUCUCGACGCAAGACUGGCUGAGUGGGGAUGAGUUCCAUUGUGUGGUGAGCCACGAGGAAAUGCCGACUCCGGAAAGGGCUUCCAUCAGCAAGGGCAAAGAUCCACAUGCGCAGGAACCGUCCGUCUCUGUAUUCUUUCCGACGACAGAAGAAGCCUCCGCUCAGAGAUCCGUCACUAUCACAUGCUUAGUGAGAGGUUUCUCCCCACGACAGAUCUUCGUCAAGUGGACGGUCGAUGGCAAGCUGGUCAAUUCGAGCAACUACAGGAACACUGAGGUGGUGGCGGAGACCGGAAACAGGUCUUUCUUCGUUUACAGCCUAUUUACUGUUGGGGUGGAGCAGUGGGCCAGCGGCGCUUCCUUCUCAUGUGUGGUGGGACACGAAACUCUCCCAAUGAAGACCAUCGCCAGAACGGUCAAUCGGUCCAGCGGUAAACCCAGUUUUGUCAACGUUUCCCUUGUACUGAUGGAUACUGUUAAUUCCUGUCAAUAAGAAUCCAUUGAAAGCAUUUAGAUAUAAAAUAAAUUCGAAUAAAUAUU